AUUGAACGCUGGCGGCAGGCCUAACACAUGCAAGUCGAGCGAGCGGCGGACGGGUGAGUAAUGUCUGGGAAACUGCCUGAUGGAGGGGGAUAACUACUGGAAACGGUAGCUAAUACCGCAUACCAUCAGAUGUGCCCAGAUGGGCUUAGCUAGUAGGUGGGGUAACGGCUCACCUAGCAUACGAUCCCUAGCUGGUCUGAGAGGAUGACCAGCGACAGUGGAACGGAGACACGGUCCAGACGCCUACGGUGGGCAGCAGUGGGGAAUAUUGCACAAUGUGCGCAAGCCUGAUUCAGCCAUGCCGCGUGUGUGAAGAAGGCCUUCGGGUUGUACAGCACUUUCAGCGGGGAGGCGUUACCCGAAGAAAAAGCACCGGCUAACUCCGUGCCAGCCGCCGCGGUAAUUC
rnacentral:rRNA from 1 species